rnacentral:rRNA from 1 species
GGGUCAGUAGGUUGGUCGUGCCACCGGUACGUACUGGUCUCACUGAUUCCUCCUUCUUGAAGAACCGUAAUGCCAUUAAUUUGGUGUUGCGGGGAAACAGGACUGCUACUUUGAAAAAAUUAGAGUGUUUAAAGCAAGCUAACGCUUGAAUACAUUAGCAUGGAAUAAUGAAAUAGGACGAUCGAUCCUAUUUUGUUGGUUUCUAGGAUUGACGUA